AAUAAGUGCAGCCAUGGUUUUCAGUGUCCAACUUUAAUUAUUCGUCUUAUUUGAAAAAUUUUAAAAAAAAUUAAAAACAUAAGUCACGAGUAAAGUACUAUUCAUGUUUUAUUAUCUUAUAACAACAAAAUUGCUAAUUAUAAAAAAAUUUUAAAUAAGACGGAUGAUCAAAGUUGAGCGCGAAAACUCAUGGCUGCACUUAUU
rfam:Oryza sativa Japonica Group DNA, chromosome 7, cultivar: Nipponbare, complete sequence.